AGUGACUAGGCAAUAACCUCUCGCUUGGUUUAUUAUUCAUUUUCCUCUCUGUUCUAGGAUUUUGAAGGAAGUUUCUUUCAACAUCAUCCAAUUUUCUCAGUUUCACUGAAGAAAAAAGUUGGAAAUCCUACUUAACAGGGCGUUUUGAUGUUUCUAAAGUUGUUGACAGUCUCUGAUGUGCAUGGAUCCUUCGAGUGAGCCAUAAAGCCCAAGCAGCUGUCUCUCUUGCUGUUUUGUAGGCUUGCUGGAAUGCCUACAGAAGGCCUGGUGCGGCUGCGGCUAAUUUCUCUAAAUGGACCAAAUACAAAAUGAGUAUCCUUAGAAAACAUCAUAGCUAUUGCACUGGAUAAUCCCACAGGCAGCGUAUCAAAUCAGGCAGAUACUUCAGUAUCACUACACCAAGAUAUUUUACAAGGAAGCCAGUGGCUCUGGAUUUCUGACUGCAUUGGAUGUGAUCCUGAAAGGGUUUGAGCAGCCCCAACCCAGAAACACAGUUAACUUGAAGCAUCUGAACACUGAACUUCUUAGCAAAUGCAGAACAUGCCUCAGGUGGCACGUGAGCAGGAUUCAUCACCAAAUUUGGUCCUCUGGUUGGAUCGUUAGCUUCCCUGGCUUGGGCCAGGUACUGACAGGGAGUGCAACAUGAAUGCUGAUCCAUUGUCCCAUCCCCCAACAUUGAACUUAAUGGGCCUACUCAUGUGCUUAAAUAUAAACACAUGCUUAAGUGCUCAGCACCAUGAUGGACUGAGGCCUUAAGCUGAAUAGAAUAAACUAGAAUAGAAGAGAAUGAUAGGCAGUGGUCUUAGCACAUCAAGGACUGUCUUUGUUCUGUGUUUUCACAGCACCUAGCACAAUGGGGUCCUGGUUUGUGACCAGAAUGCUCCUAAGUGCUAUGGUAAUAACAACAGAGGGGAAUUUUAUAUUGGUUCUGGUUUCUAGGGGCAUUUUAAUCAGCCUUUCCCAGUUGUGGUGGUCUGUGAGGUUUCAUUUGGUCAUUUGCACUACUUUAGCUGUAUUCCAGGGAGCAGUUGUAUUCAUAUUCAAGAAAGCAAAAAGCAGUCCAUUUUCUUCCCAGGCUCUGACACCAACAAAAUAGUAUCACUCAUUGGAGGAAUAGGAGGUUCUAGCAUUCCUCUGGACGUGUGGGAAAUGGCAUGUGUGUUUAUAUGACCGUGGUUUCACCUUAUGUAUGGACCACCAGGCUUUAACGACACAUUGGCCACAGGAGGUUCAGGCCACUGACCACUGUGUUUAUUCCAAUGAGCCAAACAGUUGGCAUAGUGAAACUUCUUACCCCAGAUUACACCAGGACAUGGAAAUCAGACAACAGAUUUCUUGUCCAUAUUUGCCUCUUCAACACAGGCACUGGGGAAUUCCUAGGGAAAGCAUUUUUUCCAUGUGCUGCAGAACCUGUCAGAGCUAAAUGUCAUAGAGGACAUUUUGCUGUAGAGUCAGUACAGAAAAAUGAGUUUAGACAACACACGUUUAAAGAAAUAUAGGAGUAUGAGGAAAAACAAUCUAGUGCCUCAUAAUGUCCUGUUUCUAAUUAAUGCUUUGUUCUCAUCAGACUCUUGCUUUUCAAAGUAAAUAGGCAGAAUGCUGCUAUUUUCUUUAGAAACUUCAUGCAUAUUUUCUGUAUACUAAAAAUCCUUUAAGAUAUCCAGAUAUUCAUUAAAAUAAAAAAUUGGCAGCUUUUCACUUCGUUUUUUCAUCUCUCUCUCCUCCUCC